rnacentral:sRNA from 1 species
AUAAAUAUUGCAAUUAACUAAAUGCUAUUGUCUAAUUAUAUGUAGCAAAUUAAAUAUGCUAUGUAUAACAGUUAUUUAUAUCAGAAACAAAUCGUUAUUAAAUAAUUAAAGAUUGCAGCAGAAAAAGCGCUGUAAUAAAGGAAAUAAUGAUAGCAGAACAAAAAAGCGCUACAAUAUGUCUCCGACCUAUUAUGACGGACGAUGAUAGAGCGCUUCUAAUAACGCUAUGAUAUAAUAACAUAGCGUUUUUCGGGCGCUACAAAUGCUCCAUAUUCCUGUAGUGGGGUCAACGAAGACGGCAAUAACAUGGGCAUCGAUGUCAGAGUCAAGCAAUACCAACUUCCAAACCCUAACAACAACGACAACAACAACGACGACAACGACGACGACAGCAACGACGACAACAACGACGACAACAACGAUGACAACAACGACGACAACAACGACGACAACUAAACAAUCGUUUGUUUAUCUCUCUAAUUUAUCUCUAUGGUUUAGUAGUCCUAUUUAUUUAUGUUGUAAUGGUCCCUAAUUUGCUUUAGACGCUUUUUUUUUUUUUUUUUUUAUCUCUGUUUGAUCUCUAGUCUUAUGGAUUGAUGUUGCAAUGGUUCUUAGUUAUCUUAUGUU